CAAUAGCGUAUAUUUAAGUUGCUGCAGUUAAAAAGCUCGUAGUUGGAUUUCGGGUGGGAAUGGCCGGUCCGCCGUUUCGGUGUGCACUUGCUACGCCCACCUUGCUGCCGGGGACGUGCUCUUGAGUUCACGCUCGGGACACGGAGUCGGCGAGGUUACUUUGAGUAAAUUAGAGUGUUCAAAGCAGGCCUACGCUCUGAAUACAUUAGCAUGGAAUAACACGAUAGGACUCUGGCCUAUCUUGUUGGUCUGUAGGACCGGAGUAAUGAUUAAGAAGGACAGUCGGGGGCAUUCGUAUUUCAUUGUCAGAGGUGAAAUUCUUGGAUUUAUGAAAGACGAACUACUGCGAAAGCAUUUGCCAAGGAUGUUUUCAUUAA
rnacentral:rRNA from 1 species